GGGCCGCUAGCUCAAUUUGGCAGAGCAGCUGACUCUUAAUCAGCGGGUUGCAGGUUCGAGUCCUGCGCGGCUCACCU
rnacentral:tRNA from 1 species